AACGAACGCUGGCGGCAUGCCUAACACAUGCAAGUCGAACGAGACCUUCGGGUCUAUUGUCGCACGGGUGCGUAACGCGUGGGAACCUUCCCUUAUGUUCGGAAUAACUCCCCGAAAGGGGUGCUAAUACCGGAUAAUGUCUUCGGACCAAAGAUUUAUCGCCUUUGGAUGGGCCCUCGUUGGAUUAGCUAUUUGUUAGGGUAAAAGCCUACCAAGGCGACGAUCCAUAGCUGGUCUGAGAGGAUGAUCAGCCACACUGGGACUGAGACACGGCCCAGACUCCUACGGGAGGCAGCAGUGGGGAAUAUUGGACAAUGGGCGAAAGCAUGAUCCAGCAAUGCCGCGUGAGUGAUGAAGGCCUUAGGGUUGUAAAGCUCUUUUAACCGGGAUGAUAAUGACAGUACCGGGAGAAUAAGCUCCGGCUAACUCCGUG
rnacentral:rRNA from 1 species